UGGGGUGUAGCCAAGUGGUAAGGCACGGGACUUUGACUCCCGCAUUCGCUGGUUCGAGUCCAGCUACCCCAGCCA
rnacentral:tRNA from 1 species